CCUACGGGCGGCAGCAGUGAGGAAUAUUGGUCAAUGGGCGGAAGCCUGAACCAGCCAAGUAGCGUGCAGGAUGACGGCCCUACGGGUUGUAAACUGCUUUUAUACGGGAAUAACGCGCCUUACGUGUAGGGCUUUGCAUGUACCGUAUGAAUAAGGACCGGCUAAUUCCGUGCCAGCCGCCGCGGUAAUACGGAAGGUCCGGGCGUUAUCCGGAUGUAUGGGGUUUAAAGGGAGCGUAGGCCGCAUGUCAAGCGUGCUGUGAAAUGUCCGGGCUCAACCCGGGCCUUGCAGCGCGAACUGGCGUGCUUGAGUGCGCGGAAAGCAGGCGGAAUUCGUGGUGUAGCGGUGAAAUGCUUAGAUAUGACGAAGAACCCCGAUUGCGAAGGCAGCUUGCUGCAGCGGAACUGACGCUGAUGCUCGAAAGCGCGGGUAUCGAACAGGAUUAGAUACCCUUGUAGUC
rnacentral:rRNA from 1 species